UACGUAGGGGGCAAGCGUUGUCCGGAUUUAUUGGGCGUAAAGAGCGUGUAGGCGGUCAUGUAGGUCCGUUGUGAAAACUCGAGGCUCAACCUCGAGACGCCGAUGGAAACCAUGUGACUCGAGUCCGGUAGGGGAGCGUGGAAUUCCCGGUGUAGCGGUGAAAUGCGCAGAUAUCGGGAGGAACACCAGUGGCGAAGGCGGCGCUCUGGGCCGGAACUGACGCUGAGGAGCGAAAGCGUGGGUAGCAAACAGG
rnacentral:rRNA from 1 species